UUAAGCGACUAAGCGUACACGGUGGAUGCCCUGGCAGUCAGAGGCGAUGAAGGACGUGCUAAUCUGCGAAAAGCGUCGGUAAGGUGAUAUGAACCGUUAUAGCCGGCGAUGUCCGAAUGGGGAAACCCAGUGUGAUUCGUCACACUAUCGUUAACUGAAUACAUAGGUUAACGAGGCGAACCGGGGGAACUGAAACAUCUAAGUACCCCGAGGAAAAGAAAUCAACCGAGAUUCCCCCAGUAGCGGCGAGCGAACGGGGAGCAGCCCAGAGUCUGAAUCAGCUUGUGUGUUAGUGGAACGGUCUGGAAAGUCCGACGGUACAGGGUGAUAGUCCCGUACACCAAAAUGCACAGGUUGUGAACUCGAAGAGUAGGGCGGGACACGUGGUAUCCUGUCUGAAUAUGGGGGGACCAUCCUCCAAGGCUAAAUACUCCUGACUGACCGAUAGUGAACCAGUACCGUGAGGGAAAGGCGAAAAGAACCCCGGCGAGGGGAGUGAAAAAGAACCUGAAACCGUGUACGUACAAGCAGUGGGAGCACCUUCGGGUGUGACUGCGUACCUUUUGUAUAAUGGGUCAGCGACUUAUAUUCUGUAGCAAGGUUAACCGUAUAGGGGAGCCGCAGGGAAACCGAGUCUUAACUGGGCGUUAAGUUGCAGGGUAUAGACCCGAAACCCGGUGAUCUAGCCAUGGGCAGGUUGAAGGUUGGGUAACACUAACUGGAGGACCGAACCGACUAAUGUUGAAAAAUUAGCGGAUGACUUGUGGCUGGGGGUGAAAGGCCAAUCAAACCGGGAGAUAGCUGGUUCUCCCCGAAAGCUAUUUAGGUAGCGCCUCGUGAACUCAUCUUCGGGGGUAGAGCACUGUUUCGGCUAGGGGGUCAUCCCGACUUACCAACCCGAUGCAAACUACGAAUACCGAAGAAUGUUAUCACGGGAGACACACGGCGGGUGCUAACGUCCGUCGUGAAGAGGGAAACAACCCAGACCGCCAGCUAAGGUCCCAAAGUCAUGGUUAAGUGGGAAACGAUGUGGGAAGGCACAGACAGCCAGGAUGUUGGCUUAGAAGCAGCCAUCAUUUAAAGAAAGCGUAAUAGCUCACUGGUCGAGUCGGCCUGCGCGGAAGAUGUAACGGGGCUAAACCAUGCACCGAAGCUGCGGCAGCGACACUAUGUGUUGUUGGGUAGGGGAGCGUUCUGUAAGCCUGCGAAGGUGACCUGUGAGGGUUGCUGGAGGUAUCAGAAGUGCGAAUGCUGACAUAAGUAACGAUAAAGCGGGUGAAAAGCCCGCUCGCCGGAAGACCAAGGGUUCCUGUCCAACGUUAAUCGGGGCAGGGUGAGUCGACCCCUAAGGCGAGGCCGAAAGGCGUAGUCGAUGGGAAACAGGUUAAUAUUCCUGUACUUGGUGUUACUGCGAAGGGGGGACGGAGAAGGCUAUGUUAGCCGGGCGACGGUUGUCCCGGUUUAAGCAUGUAGGCUGAUUGUCCAGGCAAAUCCGGAUAAUCAAGGCUGAGGUGUGAUGACGAGGCACUACGGUGCUGAAGUAACAAAUGCCCUGCUUCCAGGAAAAGCCUCUAAGCAUCAGGUAACAUUAAAUCGUACCCCAAACCGACACAGGUGGUCAGGUAGAGAAUACCAAGGCGCUUGAGAGAACUCGGGUGAAGGAACUAGGCAAAAUGGUGCCGUAACUUCGGGAGAAGGCACGCUGGUGUGUAGGUGAAGUCCCUGCGGAUGGAGCUGAGACCAGUCGAAGAUACCAGCUGGCUGCAACUGUUUAUUAAAAACACAGCACUGUGCAAACACGAAAGUGGACGUAUACGGUGUGACGCCUGCCCGGUGCCGGAAGGUUAAUUGAUGGGGUUAUCCGUAAGGAGAAGCUCUUGAUCGAAGCCCCGGUAAACGGCGGCCGUAACUAUAACGGUCCUAAGGUAGCGAAAUUCCUUGUCGGGUAAGUUCCGACCUGCACGAAUGGCGUAAUGAUGGCCAGGCUGUCUCCACCCGAGACUCAGUGAAAUUGAACUCGCUGUGAAGAUGCAGUGUACCCGCGGCAAGACGGAAAGACCCCGUGAACCUUUACUAUAGCUUGACACUGAACAUUGAGCCUUGAUGUGUAGGAUAGGUGGGAGGCUUUGAAGCGUGGACGCCAGUCUGCGUGGAGCCAACCUUGAAAUACCACCCUUUAAUGUUUGAUGUUCUAACGUUGGCCCCUGACCGGGGUUGCGGACAGUGUCUGGUGGGUAGUUUGACUGGGGCGGUCUCCUCCCAAAGCGUAACGGAGGAGCACGAAGGUUAGCUAAUCCUGGUCGGACAUCAGGAGGUUAGUGCAAUGGCAUAAGCUAGCUUGACUGCGAGCGUGACGGCGCGAGCAGGUGCGAAAGCAGGUCAUAGUGAUCCGGUGGUUCUGAAUGGAAGGGCCAUCGCUCAACGGAUAAAAGGUACUCCGGGGAUAACAGGCUGAUACCGCCCAAGAGUUCAUAUCGACGGCGGUGUUUGGCACCUCGAUGUCGGCUCAUCACAUCCUGGGGCUGAAGUAGGUCCCAAGGGUAUGGCUGUUCGCCAUUUAAAGUGGUACGCGAGCUGGGUUUAGAACGUCGUGAGACAGUUCGGUCCCUAUCUGCCGUGGGCGCUGGAGAAUUGAGGGGGGCUGCUCCUAGUACGAGAGGACCGGAGUGGACGCAUCACUGGUGUUCGGGUUGUCAUGCCAAUGGCACUGCCCGGUAGCUAAAUGCGGAAGAGAUAAGUGCUGAAAGCAUCUAAGCACGAAACUUGCCCCGAGAUGAGUUCUCCCUGAGACUAUAAGUCUCCUGAAGGAACGUUAAAGACGAUGACGUUGAUAGGCCGGGUGUGUAAGCGCAGCGAUGCGUUGAGCUAACCGGUACUAAUGAACCGUGAGGCUUAACCUU
rnacentral:rRNA from 2 species